rnacentral:rRNA from 1 species
UACAUGUGGGGCAAGCGUUGUUCGGAAUUACUGGGCAUAAAGGGUGCGUAGGCGGCUUGUUAAGUCAGGGGUGAAAGUUUUCGGCCCAACCGGAAAAUUGCCUUUGAUACUGGCGAGCUGGAGUGCGUGAGGGGUGACCGGAACGAGUGGUGUAGCGGUGAAAUGCGUAGAUAUCAGGAGGAACACCAAUUGCGAAGGCAGCUCGCUGGGACGUUACUGACGCUGAGACGCGAAAGCGUGGGGAGCAAACAGG